rnacentral:sRNA from 1 species
CAAGUUUUUGGAGUCUACCUUGUAGUCAGCAAUGUCCUACCUCGUGUCCUUACGAUUGUGAUAGAGACACUGGAGAGUGUAACUCUAUAUGUAUUGAACACAGCAACCCACCGCAUUGUGAUGCAGCCUGCAGGAUUGGUGAGUGGGGCAUAAACUGUGGCAAUAAUUGCAGUAGCAGAUGCGCCGAAGUCUCGUGUGACGUUAAAACUGGACAGUGUGACCAGGGAUGCCAAGGAUACAGUGACCCACCUUAUUGUGAAACUGAAUGCAUGACAAGAAUCUAUGGAACAAAUUGUACCUCCAAUUGCUCCUCUGCUUGUUUGUAUGGUGAAUGUGAUCCUCGCACCGGCCACUGUUACAAUUGUUUUCCUGGUUUUCAUGGUUACUUCUGUGAAAGGAAAAUUUUCAAUGUCGAGCUGAUCAGUUUUGGAAUGGGAUACGCAGCUUGCAGCGGACUUACCAUUGUUGUUAUUUUAGCCUUAGCUCUGAGUAGGACCAUCGUUUGCCAAUGUAAUGCAAGGUCAAGGCUAGAGCCUGUUCAACAUCAUACUGACCUCCAACAGGACAUAUGUCACGAUACUGAUCAAA